UACGGGGGGAGCAAGCGUUGUUCGGAUUUACUGGGCGUAAAGGGCGCGUAGGCGGCGUGACAAGUCACUUGUGAAAUCUCCGGGCUUAACUCGGAGCGGCCAAGUGAUACUGUCGUGCUAGAGUGCGGAAGGGGCUACUGGAAUUCUCGGUGUAGCGGUGAAAUGCGCAGAUAUCAGGAGGAACACCGGUGGCGAAGGCGGGUCUCUGGGCCGAUACUGACGCUGAGGAGCGAAAGCGUGGGGAGCGAACAGG
rnacentral:rRNA from 1 species